AACGAACGCUGGCGGCAGGCCUAACACAUGCAAGUCGAGCGAGGACUUCGGUUCUAGCGGCGGACGGGUGAGUAACGCGUGGGAAUGUGCCCUUCUCUACGGAAUAGCCCUGGGAAACUGGGAGUAAUACCGUAUACGCGCUAUUGGGGAAAGAUUUAUCGGAGAAGGAUCAGCCCGCGUUGGAUUAGGUAGUUGGUGGGGUAAUGGCCUACCAAGCCGACGAUCCAUAGCUGGUUUGAGAGGAUGAUCAGCCACACUGGGACUGAGACACGGCCCAGACUCCUACGGGAGGCAGCAGUGGGGAAUCGUAGACAAUGGGGGCAACCCUGAUCGAGCCAGGCCGCGUGAGUGAUGAAGGCCUUAGGGUUGUAAAGCUCUUUCAGCUGGGAAGAUAAUGACGGUACCAGCAGAAGAAGCCCCGGCUAACUCCGUG
rnacentral:rRNA from 1 species